AGUGAACGCUGGCGGUAGGCCUAACACAUGCAAGUCGAACGGCAGCACAGUAAGAGCUUGCUCUUACGGGUGGCGAGUGGCGGACGGGUGAGGAAUACAUCGGAAUCUACUUUUUCGUGGGGGAUAACGUAGGGAAACUUACGCUAAUACCGCAUACGACCUACGGGUGAAAGCAGGGGAUCUUCGGACCUUGCGCGAUUGAAUGAGCCGAUGUCGGAUUAGCUAGUUGGCGGGGUAAAGGCCCACCAAGGCGACGAUCCGUAGCUGGUCUGAGAGGAUGAUCAGCCACACUGGAACUGAGACACGGUCCAGACUCCUACGGGAGGCAGCAUUGGGGAAUAUUGGUCAAUGGGCGCAAGCCUGAUCCAGCCAUACCGCGUGGGUGAAGAAGGCCUUCGGGUUGUAAAGCCCUUUUGUUGGGAAAGAAAAGCAGCAGGUUAAUACCCCGCUGUUCUGACGUUACCCAAAGAAUAAGCACCGGCUAACUUCGUG
rnacentral:rRNA from 1 species